UACGGAGGAUCCGAGCGUUAUCCGGAUUUAUUGGGUUUAAAGGGUGCGCAGGCGGGAUGUUAAGUCGGCGGUGAAAUUUUGCGGCUCAACCGUAAAAGUGCCUUCGAAACUGGCAUUCUUGAGUAUGGAUGAAGUAGGCGGAAUUUGUGGUGUAGCGGUGAAAUGCUUAGAUAUCACGAGGAACUCCGAUUGCGCAGGCAGCUUACUAAACCAUAACUGACGCUCAUGCACGAAGGCGUGGGGAUCAAACAGGAUUAGAUACCCUGGUAGUCCACGCAGUAAACGAUGAUUACUAGUUGUUUGCGAUACACAGUAAGCGACCGAGCGAAAGCAUUAAGUAAUCCACCUGGGGAGUACGUUCGCAAGAAUGAA
rnacentral:rRNA from 1 species